UUUCGGCAAUAUAUAGGAAAAUCUAUGAUUUUGCUGCUGCUGCACUGUAACCCUCUAGCGAUUAUCAGAUUUAUGAGAUUUUAUUUUUAGUUUAUUUUAUUAUGUUUUCUCGGGAAGCAAACGGCCUUCGGGUUUAUUUACGCGGGUUGACUGUUGAGGUCCAUUAGGAAAGUUCGGUUUUGAUAAUUUUUAGUGUUAUUUGCCUUAUUUUUCAACCUUUUUUUUUUGGGCCAAAGA
rnacentral:misc_RNA from 1 species